rnacentral:rRNA from 1 species
AGUGAACGCUGGCGGUAGGCCUAACACAUGCAAGUCGAACGGCAGCACAGUAAGAGCUUGCUCUUACGGGUGGCGAGUGGCGGACGGGUGAGGAAUACAUCGGAAUCUACUUUUUCGUGGGGAUAACGUAGGGAAACUUUCCCUUAUAACCCCUUCGACCUACGGGUGAAAGCCAGGGAUCCUUGGACCUUGCGCGGAUUAAUUAGCCGAUGUCGGAUUAGCUAGUUGGCGGGGUAAAGGCCCACCAAGGCGACGAUCCGUAGCUGGUCUGAGAGGAUGAUCAGCCACACUGGAACUGAGACACGGUCCAGACUCCUACGGGAGGCAGCAGUGGGGAAUAUUGGACAAUGGGCGCAAGCCUGAUCCAGCCAUACCGCGUGGGUGAAGAAGGCCUUCGGGUUGUAAAGCCCUUUUGUUGGGAAAGAAAAGCAGCAGGUUAAUACCCCGCUGUUCUGACGGUACCCAAAGAAUAAGCACCGGCUAACUUCGUG